CCUACGGGAGGCUGCAGUGGGGAAUAUUGGGCAAUGGGCGCAAGCCUGACCCAGCAACGCCGCGUGAAGGAAGAAGGCUUUCGGGUUGUAAACUUCUUUUAUCAGGGACGAAGCAAGUGACGGUACCUGAUGAAUAAGCCACGGCUAACUACGUGCCAGCAGCCGCGGUAAUACGGAAGGCCCGAGCGUUAUCCGGAUUCAUUGGGCUUAAAGGGAGCGUAGGCGGGCGUUCAAGUCAGCUGUAAAAUCGCGCGGCUCAACCGCGCCCCGCAGUUGAAACUGGACGCCUUGAGUUCACAACAGGCAGGCGGAAUUCGUGGUGUAGCGGUGAAAUGCAUAGAUAUCACGCAGAACUCCGAUUGCGAAGGCAGCAUACCGGCGCCCAACUGACGCUCAGGCACGAAAGCGUGGGUAUCGAACAGGAUUAGAUACCCUUGUAGUC
rnacentral:rRNA from 1 species